rnacentral:rRNA from 1 species
CGGGCCGCAGCUACACAUGCAAGUCGAGCGGUAGCACAGAGAGCUUGCUCUCGGGUGACGAGCGGCGGACGGGUGAGUAAUGUCUGGGAAACUGCCUGAUGGAGGGGGAUAACUACUGGAAACGGUAGCUAAUACCGCAUAACGUCGCAAGACCAAAGUGGGGGACCUUCGGGCCUCAUGCCAUCAGAUGUGCCCAGAUGGGAUUAGCUAGUAGGUGGGGUAACGGCUCACCUAGGCGACGAUCCCUAGCUGGUCUGAGAGGAUGACCAGCCACACUGGAACUGAGACACGGUCCAGACUCCUACGGGAGGCAGCAGUGGGGAAUAUUGCACAAUGGGCGCAAGCCUGAUGCAGCCAUGCCGCGUGUGUGAAGAAGGCCUUCGGGUUGUAAAGCACUUUCAGCGGGGAGGAAGGCGGUGAGGUUAAUAACCUUGUCGAUUGACGUUACCCGCAGAAGAAGCACCGGCUAACUCCGUGCCAGCAGCCGCGGUAAUACGGAGGGUGCAAGCGUUAAUCGGAAUUACUGGGCGUAAAGCGCACGCAGGCGGUCUGUCAAGUCGGAUGUGAAAUCCCCGGGCUCAACCUGGGAACUGCAUUCGAAACUGGCAGGCUAGAGUCUUGUAGAGGGGGGUAGAAUUCCAGGUGUAGCGGUGAAAUGCGUAGAGAUCUGGAGGAAUACCGGUGGCGAAGGCGGCCCCCUGGACAAAGACUGACGCUCAGGUGCGAAAGCGUGGGGAGCAAACAGGAUUAGAUACCCUGGUAGUCCACGCCGUAAACGAUGUCGAUUUGGAGGUUGUGCCCUUGAGGCGUGGCUUCCGGAGCUAACGCGUUAAAUCGACCGCCUGGGGAGUACGGCCGCAAGGUUAAAACUCAAAUGAAUUGACGGGGGCCCGCACAAGCGGUGGAGCAUGUGGUUUAAUUCGAUGCAACGCGAAGAACCUUACCUGGUCUUGACAUCCACAGAACUUUCCAGAGAUGGAUUGGUGCCUUCGGGAACUGUGAGACAGGUGCUGCAUGGCUGUCGUCAGCUCGUGUUGUGAAAUGUUGGGUUAAGUCCCGCAACGAGCGCAACCCUUAUCCUUUGUUGCCAGCGGUUAGGCCGGGAACUCAAAGGAGACUGCCAGUGAUAAACUGGAGGAAGGUGGGGAUGACGUCAAGUCAUCAUGGCCCUUACGACCAGGGCUACACACGUGCUACAAUGGCAUAUACAAAGAGAAGCGACCUCGCGAGAGCAAGCGGACCUCAUAAAGUAUGUCGUAGUCCGGAUUGGAGUCUGCAACUCGACUCCAUGAAGUCGGAAUCGCUAGUAAUCGUAGAUCAGAAUGCUACGGUGAAUACGUUCCCGGGCCUUGUACACACCGCCCGUCACACCAUGGGAGUGGGUUGCAAAAGAAGUAGGUAGCUUAACCUUCGGGAGGGCGCUACCACUUGGAUAA